CAACGAUAAAAGAACCCGCGCCCGUGCGGUUUGUUACAAGUCCGGCGCCGAAGACCCCCAGUGAUCCGAUCGAACUUCCAGCGGUUACCGCCACGAAGAAGCAACCAGUCAACCAGUUUGGGUUUCCGGGAAUCCCGUGCCCGGAACCAUCGUAGAUGACGUGAUCACACAUCUUGAACGCAACGAAUUCCACCUGAUUUCCAAGAACGUCCGCCAGGGAACCGUCUCGUCCACCUCAUACAACUGGACGCGGACAAGCUGCAGCAGUACUCGUUGCCCGUGUUGUCGGAAUGGAGCAGGAAUCGGACACUGAAGGGGGGCAGGCCGGCAAGAAAAUCAAUUAAGAAAAAGCCACGGCUGGGGAGUUCAAUUCCGUCCCGCGGGAAGCGGGUUACGCCGGUGAAGAAGACGUCGCUGACGUUUGCCAUUUUCGGCACCAGUAUGAACCGGAUUGGGGAGCAGAAGAUAUGGGGGAGGACCGGAGAAGCAGCAGCUGAGGCGAUGCAAAACGUCAACCGCAACCCGCUGUCACCCGUUUACCGACGACAAUGACCGCACCGAGAAACCCGCAAACGUGAAACCCCUCAUCAUUUCGCCUUCAAUACCGCGUCCGCUACCUCAAGUCCAGCCCAACAAAGUGAAUCUCCUCUACGAGAGUGUCAUGCAGCAGCGUCCCCUCAAUCCGACGUCCCAGACCGUACCAAGCUGCCCAACGUGACGCUCGGGUUCUCCUCCCUGCCGCGAACGUUCUAUUUUCCCGCUCGAAGGACUUGCUGCCAUGGUAUGAGAGCGACGUCGUCGUUCGGGACCAAAAUGUGCGGCCAAAGACGGUUGUGGACCAGUCGGUUCCGCCGGCCAAGCGACAACCUUCAAGUACUAGUUUGACCAGAACGAUAAUGCGGUGCCGAAUUCCUUCCAACAUCCUCCAUAAGCACCAGUUGUUCCAGAGAUUCUGCACAGCGGGGUUCAGUGUGUGGUUCCCGUUCCCCCCUAACUGGGAUCUCGAACAACCCAAAUCCGGUCAUCAACAGUCAAGUGAAACAAAAAAAAA
rnacentral:lncRNA from 1 species